rnacentral:rRNA from 1 species
CACGUAGGCGGAUCGUUAAGUCGGGGUGAAAUCCUGGAGCUCAACUCCAGAACUGCCUUCGAUACUGGCGAUCUAGAGUCCGGAAGAGGUGAGUGGAACUCCUAGUGUAGAGGUGGAAUUCGUAGAUAUUAGGAAGAACACCAGUGGCGAAGGCGGCUCACUGGCCCGGAACUGACGCUGAGGUGCGAAAGCGUGGGGAGCAAACA